rnacentral:rRNA from 1 species
GUGGGGUAAUGGCCUACCAAGGCUUCGACGGGUAGCCGGCCUGAGAGGGUGACCGGUCACACUGGGACUGAGACACGGCCCAGACUCCUAUGGGAGGCAGCAGUGGGGAAUAUUGGACAAUGGGCGGAAGCCUGAUCCAGCAACGCCGCGUGAGGGAUGACGGCCUUCGGGUUGUAAACCUCUUUCACCAUUGACGAAGCCGCACAGUGUGUGUGGUGACGCUAGGCGGGGAAGAAGCACCGGCCAACUACGUGCCAGCAGCCGCGGUAAUACGUAGGGUGCGAGCGUUGUCCGGAAUUAUUGGGCGUAAAGGGCUCGUAGGCGGUUUGUCGCGUCGGGAGUGAAAACACAGGGCUUAACUCCGUGCUUGCUUUCGAUACGGGCAGACUAGAGGGAUGCAGGGGAGAACGGAAUUCCUGGUGUAGCGGUGAAAUGCGCAGAUAUCAGGAGGAACACCGGUGGCGAAGGCGGUUCUCUGGGCAUGUCCUGACGCUGAGGAGCGAAAGUGUGGGGAGCGAACAGGAUUAGAUACCCUGGCAGUCCACACCGUAAACGUUGGGCGCUAGGUGUGGGAUCCAUUCCACGGGUUCCGUGCCGCAGCUAACGCAUUAAGCG